CUGCUCAUUUUGGCAGCACAUAUUCUAAGCUUAAAAGGAUACAAAGAUUAGCCCCUGUGCAAGGAUGGCAAGCAAAUUUAUAAAGUGGUCUAUAUUUUU
rnacentral:snRNA from 1 species